rnacentral:rRNA from 1 species
GGAGAGUUUGAUCCUGGCUCAGGACGAACGCUGGCGGCGUGCCUAAUACAUGCAAGUCGAGCGGACAGAUGGGAGCUUGCUCCCUGAUGUUAGCGGCGGACGGGUGAGUAACACGUGGGUAACCUGCCUGUAAGACUGGGAUAACUCCGGGAAACCGGGGCUAAUACCGGAUGCUUGUUUGAACCGCAUGGUUCAAACAUAAAAGGUGGCUUC